UAUAAUGCGAGUCGAACGCACAGCGAAAGGUGCUUGCACCUUUCAAGUGAGUGGCGAACGGGUGAGUAACACGUGGACAACCUGCCUCAAGGCUGGGGAUAACAUUUGGAAACAGAUGCUAAUACCGAAUGAAACUUAGUGUCGCAUGACACGAAGUUAAAAGGCGCUUUGGCGUCACCUAGAGAUGGAUCCGCGGUGCAUUAGUUAGUUGGUGGGGUAAAGGCCUACCAAGACAAUGAUGCAUAGCCGAGUUGAGAGACUGAUCGGCCACAUUGGGACUGAGACACGGCCCAAACUCCUACGGGAGGCUGCAGUAGGGAAUCUUCCACAAUGGGCGAAAGCCUGAUGGAGCAACGCCGCGUGUGUGAUGAAGGCUUUCGGGUCGUAAAGCACUGUUGUAUGGGAAGAACAGCUAGAAUAGGGAAUGAUUUUAGUUUGACGGUACCAUACCAGAAAGGGACGGCUAAAUACGUGCCAGCAGCCGCGGUAAUACGUAUGUCCCGAGCGUUAUCCGGAUUUAUUGGGCGUAAAGCGAGCGCAGACGGUUGAUUAAGUCUGAUGUGAAAGCCCGGAGCUCAACUCCGGAAUGGCAUUGGAAACUGGUUAACUUGAGUGCAGUAGAGGUAAGUGGAACUCCAUGUGUAGCGGUGGAAUGCGUAGAUAUAUGGAAGAACACCAGUGGCGAAGGCGGCUUACUGGACUGUAACUGACGUUGAGGCUCGAAAGUGUGGGUAGCAAACAGGAUUAGAUACCCUGGUAGUCCACACCGUAAACGAUGAACACUAGGUGUUAGGAGGUUUCCGCCUCUUAGUGCCGAAGCUAACGCAUUAAGUGUUCCGCCUGGGGGAGUACGACCGCAAGGUUGAAACUCAAAGGAAUUGACGGGGACCCGCACAAGCGGUGGAGCAUGUGGUUUAAUUCGAAGCAACGCGAAGAACCUUACCAGGUCUUGACAUCCUUUGAA
rnacentral:rRNA from 1 species